rnacentral:rRNA from 1 species
UACGUAGGUGGCAAGCGUUGUCCGGAUUUACUGGGCGUAAAGAGCGCGCAGGCGGUCGGAUAAGUCGAAUGUGAAAGCCCCCGGCUCAACUGGGGGAGGGUCAUUCGAUACUGUUCGACUCGAAGGCAGGAGAGGGAAGUGGAAUUCCCGGUGUAGUGGUGAAAUGCGCAGAUAUCGGGAAGAACACCCGUGGCUAAGGCGGCUCUCUAGUACGGUACUGACGCUGAGACGCGAAAAGCGUGGGGGAGCGAACAGG